rnacentral:rRNA from 1 species
GACGAACGCUGGCGGCGUGCUUAACACAUGCAAGUCGAACGGAAGGGCGCUGCGCUUGUGUCGUGCUUGAUUGGCGAACGGGUGAGUAACACGUGAGUAUCCUCCACCUGACUUUGGGGUAACUUCACGAAACUGGGGCUCAUACCCGAUAGGAUCUCCUGAUGCGUGGGGGUGGUUAGAAAAUUUCGGCGGUGGGGGCUGGUUUCGAGGCUUAUCCGCUUGUUGGUCGAGUAGGUGAUUUCCAAGCCUUCCACGGCUAGCCGGCCUGGGAGCGUGACCGGGCACAUUGGGACUGCGGUACGCCGCAGACGCCUAUGUGCGGCAGCAGUGGGGAAUCUUGCACAGUGGGCGGAAGCGUGAUGCGGCAAUGCCGCGUGCGGGAUGACGGCCUUCGGGUGGUAAACAGAUUUCGAAUGAGACGAAGAGUGAGUGACGGUAAUGGGUAAAGAAGCACCGGCUAACUACGUG